UGCAAACUGCUCCGCUCCGCUCUGCCAGCCGCCUAGGGAUGGGUCUGCAGGCUCUCCCACUCAUUAGCACAGCACGAUAGGUCUGCAGGCUCCCCCACUCGUUAGCACAGCACGAUAGGUCUGCAGGCUCCCCCACUCGUUAGCACAGCACGAUAGGUCUGCAGGCUCCCCCACUCGUUAGCACAGCACGAUAGGUCUGCAGGCUCUCCCACUCGUUAGCACAGCACGAUAGGUCUGCAGGCUCCCCCACUCGUUAGCACAGCACGAUAGGUCUGCAGGCUCUCCCACUCGUUAGCACAGCACGAUAGGUCUGCAGGCUCCCC